rnacentral:rRNA from 1 species
GCAAGGGGGAGUUAGUGGCGAACGGGUGAGUAAUACAUAUUUAACAUGCCCCUAAGCGGGAAAUAACCGUCUGAAAAGACGACUAAUGUCCCAUAGGAGGGGGAGCCAGACAGGCGCCCCCUUUAAAGGCGCAAGCCGCUUAGGGAUUGGAAUAUGUUCUAUUAGCUAGUUGGCGGGGUAACUGCCCACCAAGGCGAUGAUAGAUAGCUGGUCUUAGAGGAUGAACAGCCACAAUGGGAUUGAGAUACGGCCCAUAUUCCUACGGGAAGCAGCAGUAGGGAAUCUUCCACAAUGGACGAAAGUCUGAUGGAGCAAUGCCAUGUGAACGAUGAAGGUCUUUUUGAUCGUAAAGUUCUUUUAGGGGGGAAAACUCUGAUGGUACCCCCUGAAUAAGUGACAGCAAACUAUGUGCCAGCAGCUGCGGUAAUACAUAGGUCGCGAGCGUUAUUCGGAUUUAUUGGGCGUAAAGCAAGCGCAGGCGGAUGGCUAAGUUCUAUGUUAAAAGCGGCUGCUCAACAGUCGUUUGCAUAGAAUACUAGCCGUCUAGAAUGUGGUAGGAAGUUUUGGAAUUAAAUAUGGAGCGGUGGAAUGUGUAGAUAUAUUUAAGAACACCAGAGGCGAAGGCGAAAACUUAGGCCAUUAUUGACGCUUAGGCUUGAAAGUGUGGGUAGCAAAUGGGAUUAGAUACCCCAGUAGUCCACACCGUAAACGAUGGGUAUUGGGUGUCGGGGCUUGAGCCUCGGUGCUGUAGCUUACGUGUUAAAUACCCCGCCUGGGUAGUACAUAUGCAAAUAUGAAACUCAAA